rnacentral:rRNA from 1 species
GAUGAACGCUGACAGCAUGCUUAACACAUGCAAGUCUUUGGCGAAGCUGUGCUUGCACAGCCUAGCCAAGGCGGACGGGUGAGUAACGCGUAAGGAACUUGCCCUGCAGUCAGGGAUAACAGACGGAAACGACUGAUAAGACCUGGUAAAGUCAGGCGGACUCAUGUCCAGCCUGAUGAAAAGAGAUGCUGCAGGAGAGCCUUGCGUCCUAUUAGCUUGUUGGUGGGGUAACGGCCCACCAAGGCGAUGAUAGGUAGCCGGCCUGAGAGGGUGGACGGCCACAAGGGGACUGAGAUACGGCCCUUACUCCUACGGGAGGCAGCAGUGGGGAAUAUUGGACAAUGGGGGCAACCCUGAUCCAGCAAUUCUGUGUGCACGAUGAAGGUUUUCGGAUUGUAAAGUGCUUUCAGCAGGGAAGAAAAAAAUGACGGUACCUGCAGAAGAAGCGACGGCUAAAUACGUG